rnacentral:tRNA from 1 species
CUAGGGAGAGAGGACUCGAACCUAAAUCUAGAAAUCCAAAACUCCUCGUAUAUCCAAUUAUACUACACCCUA